GAUGAACGCUGGCGGCGUGCCUAAUACAUGCAAGUCGAGCGAAAAGACGAGGAGCUUGCUCCUCUGACGUUAGCGGCGGACGGGAGAGUAACACGUGGAUAACCUACCUAUAAGACUGGGAUAACUUCGGGAAACCGGAGCUAAUACCGGAUAAUAUAUUGAACCGCAUGGUUCAAUAGUGAAAGACGGUUUUGCUGUCCCUUCUAGAUGGAUCCGCGCCGCAUUGGCUAGUUGGUAAGGUAACGGCUUACCAAGGCAACGAUGCGUAGCCGACCUGAGAGGGGGUAGGCCGACUCUGGGGCUGAGACACGGUCUUGACUCCUACAGGAGGCAGCGGUACGUACUGGUGGGCGAUGUGCGGAAGCCUGACGGAUCAGCGCCGCGCGAAUGAUGAAGGUCUGCGGAUCGUAUAACGCUCUUAUGGUGGAAGAACGAAUGUGUAAGUAACUAUGCUCGUCUUGACGGUACCUAAACAGAAAGCACCGGCUAACUACGUG
rnacentral:rRNA from 1 species